CCUACGGGUGGCAGCAGUGAGGAAUAUUGGUCAAUGGCCGGAAGGCUGAACCAGCCAUGCCGCGUGAAGGUCAGUGCCCUAUGGGCGUUAAACUUCUUUUGUGCGGGAGCAAUAAUGGUCACGUUUGGCCAGACGAGAGUACCGUACGAAUAAGCAUCGGCUAACUCCGUUCCAGCAGCCGCGGUAAUACGGGGGAUGCCAGCGUUAUCCGGAUUUAUUGGGUUUAAAGGGUGCGUAGGCUGUGAGGUAAGUCAGCGGUGAAAUGCCCCCGCUCAACGGGGUGAAGUGCCAUUGAUACUGCCUGGCUGGAAUGCGGAUGCCGUGGGAGGAAUGUGUGGUGUAGCGGUGAAAUGCAUAGAUAUCACACAGAACACCGAUUGCGAAGGCAUCUCACGAAUCCGCGAUUGACGCUGAUGCACGAAAGCGUGGGUAUCAAACAGGAUUAGAUACCCUUGUAGUC
rnacentral:rRNA from 1 species